CCUACGGGAGGCAGCAGUGAGGAAUAUUGGUCAAUGGACGCAAGUCUGAACCAGCCAUGCCGCGUGCAGGAAGACGGCUCUAUGAGUUGUAAACUGCUUUUGUACGAGGGUAAACGCAGAUACGCGUAUCUGUCUGAAAGUAUCGUACGAAUAAGGAUCGGCUAACUCCGUGCCAGCAGCCGCGGUAAUACGGAGGAUUCAAGCGUUAUCCGGAUUUAUUGGGUUUAAAGGGUGCGUAGGCGGUCGGAUAAGUUAGAGGUGAAAUCCCGAGGCUCAACUUCGGAAUUGCCUCUGAUACUGUGCGGCUAGAGAGUAGUAGAGGUAGGCGGAAUGUAUGGUGUAGCGGUGAAAUGCUUAGAGAUCAUACAGAACACCGAUUGCGAAGGCAGCUUACCAAGCUACUACUGACGUUGAGGCACGAAAGCGUGGGGAGCAAACAGGAUUAGAUACCCCUGUAGUC
rnacentral:rRNA from 1 species